GCCAUUAGUGGAUGCCUUGGAAGUAUUGACCGAAGAAGGACGCUUCAUGGUUCGCGAAACUCGUCGGGGAGUGACCAAUGACACUUUGAUCCGGCGGUGUCCGAAUGGGGAGACCCGUUCCGAUGCAAAAUCGGAAUAACCUCGUCACGAAAAUGUUCCGCCGUAAGGCGGGAUGUAUUAGUGGCAGGUGGGGUACCCGGUGAACUGAAACAUCUAAGUAACCGGUGGAAAAGAAAUCACAGAGAUUCCCUUAGUAGCGGCGAGCGAAAAGGGAAAAGCUCAAACCGCUUAUGCAUAGCAUAAGCUAGUUUAUAAAGUAGAAAGUUUUUAAGGUUUGUAAGGUAAUUCUUUAUGAACUUUAUAACUUUACGAACUUUAAACUGGCUCGUGCUGUGCACGAGCGGUGUUGUAGGACGGCUGGCUUAAAUGCAAAAGGUUACAAGAGUUAGGUAGUAGAAGGCGCCGGAAUUGCGCCGCCAAAGAGGGUGAUAGCCCUGUAAACGAAACCUAAUUCUACCUUCGCCUGUUCCUGAGUACCAUGGGGCACGAUUAAACCCUGUGGGAAGCUGGGGCGACCAAGCUCCAAAGCUAAAUAUCAAUACUUACCGAUAGUGAACUAGUACCGCGAGGGAAAGGUGAAAAGCACCCCGGGAGGGGGAUGAAAGAGUACCUGAAACUAAUGGCUAACAAGCAGUCAAAGGGCUUUGCCCUUUGAACAGUUGACAGUUGACCAAUUGACCAAUUAACGAUCAAAAGUUGUUAAUUUGUUAAUUUUGUUAAUUUGUUAAGUGUUCAGAAGGCAGAGCCUAAUGACGUGCCUAUUGAAGAAUGAGCCAGUGAGUUUUUGUUGUCUUCUAGUCUAACCAAGCUCAGCUUGGGGAGGCGCAGUGAAAGCGAGCCCUAAUCGGGCGAAAUUAGAAGCCAACAGGAGACCCGAAACCGGGUGAGCUAACCAUGAGCAGGGUGAAUGCCGACGAGAGUCGGCAGGAGGCCCGAACUCGUGACAGUAGCAAUUGUCUGAGAUGACUUGUGGUUAGGGGUAAUAUACCAAACGAACUCGGAGAUAGCUGGUUCUCCCUGAAAUAUAUUUAGGUAUAGCCUUAAUAAUUACGCAUUGGGGGUAGAGCACUGAAUGGUCUCUGGUAGCGCAAGCUAUCAGGAUCAAUCAAACUCCGAAUACCAAUGUAUUCAUAUAUUAAGAGUCAGUCCUGCGGCGCUAAGGUCGUGGGGCGAGAGGGAAACAUCCCAGACUCCCGUAUAAGGCCUCUAAAUUCAAGCUAAGUUGUUAAGAAAGUCACGGUCCUCAGACACCUAGGAGGUUGGCUUAGAAGCAGCCAUCCUUUAAAGAAAGCGUAACAGCUCACUAGUCGACCUGCCCCGCCUUUGGCGGGGUAAAGGACAGUGGCGUCGAAAAUGAUCGAGGAUUAAGCUUGAUGCCGAAGACGGAGGUGUUCCGGUUGUAUAUUUUGUUCAUAAAAUCAGUGGUAAUCUGUUACAAAUCCGCGCAAAUCAAGGCCUGGAUUUAACAGAUUUAUGGCUGAUUUUCACGGAUCGAUUUAUGGACAGGAUUUACGACCGGAAUGCAGUAAGGGAGCGUUCUGUUUGCCUUGAAGCUGAAUCGUAAGGUUUGGUGGAGCGAACAGAAGUGAGAAUGCUGGCAUGAGUAGCGAAUUGCACCUGAGAACGGUGCACGCCGAAAGCCCAAGGUUUCCUUCGCAAUGUAAGUCAGCGAAGGGUUAGUCGGCUCCUAACGGUGACCCGUGGUAACGCGGGGUAGCCGGAUGGACGACUCGUUAAAAUUCGAGUACAGGGUGUGGUGCGUUAUUACCUGGGGACUGACCAUCUUGGAAGAGGUUUCCCGAUAUAUCGGGAUUAAGUCGCAAGAUAGUUUUGAUUGGGAAAUCCGUCAAAGUGUUUAAAUCGAGCGACGAAUACAAGUCUGAAAGGCAACAAGUAGGACGAGAAUCUAUCUUUCAGGAUGCGAGAAAAAGUUCACAGGAAGCAUCAUAUCUUGCCGUACCGCAUUACCGACACAGGUGGGCUGGUGCAAGAACACCAAGGCGAUCGGGAGAAGAAUGUUCAAGGAACUCGGCAAAAAAGCUGGGCGUAACCUUUGGGAGAUGCCCUGCCACGACUAAUCUCGUGGUUAAGCAAAAGAUUAUUUGGCAACUGUUUAUCUAAAACACAGGUCCCUGCAAAGCCGAAAGGCAAGGUAUAGGGGCUGACACCUGCCCAGUGCUGGUAAGUCAAUGAUGGUGGAUGAAAUUCGCAAGAAUCAGUCUAUUUUCAAAGCUCCAGUGAACGGCAGCAGUAACUAUAACUGUUCUAUGGUAGAGUUUGAAAGAAAACUCCACUGCCAUAGUGAGGUAUGUUUGCAGAGUGCAAAAGAACCCUCCGUUUCGAUAGCCAAAUUCGAGAUGAAAAUCUGACCAUAUGCUGGAAAGUCUUGUUACUCUGAAUCUACUAUGGUAAUAUUUUUCCAUAGCGAUGAAUUUACAAAGUAAAAAUGAUAUCAGUAAAGAUAAUCAGCAGGAAAGGCUUAGAACUGCAGGUUGGAUUGUAGGAUUUGUUGAUGGAGAAGGAUGUUUCUCAGUAUCAAUCUUUAAGAAUCGAACAACAAGAAGUGGAUGGCAAGUUUUGCCUGAAUUUGUUGUAACGCAAGGAGCAAAAAGUCUAUCGGCGCUCGAAGAAAUGAAAAAUUACUUCGGAUGUGGGAGACUUUUUAUAAAUCGGCGUCAUGACAAUCAUAGAGAAGAUCUAUACCGCUAUUGUGUUCGAGCAAUUAGAGAUUUAAGAGAGAUAAUUAUUCCUUUUUUUGAAGCAAAUCCAUUAAGAACGGCUAAGAAGAAAGACUUCGAGCUGUUUAAAGAAGCAAUUCGACUAAUGAGUGAAAACGUUCAUCUUACCCAGGAGGGUGUUGAUCGUCUUCUAAAACUAAAGCAGUCCUAUUCAUCCUCAGAGACUAUACGUCAGAGUCCUAUAAUAGGACAAGAUAUAGUCCAAGCUAUAUAGGAUCUAAUCCUAUAGUACGAGCGAAGUUCCUUGUCGGGUGAGUUCCGACCCGCACGAAAGGUAGAAUGACCGAAUAACUGUCUUGAACAUUUACCCGGCGAAAUUGAGAUGGCUGUGAAGACGCGGCCUAGUUGUCCUAGGACAAAAAGACCCCGGGAGCUUUACUGUAGCUUCGCAUUUGAAAGAUUAUUUUAACUGUCGAGAAUAGGAGGGACCCCGCCGCAAGGCGGGGGUCAGUGGAAUACCUCUCUUUAAAAUGGUUGAUCAUUAUUCUUAUCCCGCAUAAAAAUCCGGGAAGAAGACAGUGCGUGGUGGGCAGUUUGACUGGGGAGGUCGACUCCUAAAAUGCAACGGAGUUGUACAAAGGUUGGCUUAGCACGGAUGGAAAUCGUGCUGAAUCCGCAUAGGGAAAAGCCAGCUUGACUGUGAGACGUACGUGUCGAGCAGGUACGAAAGUAGGUCUAAGUGAUCCUGUAGAUCCUGUUGGUCAGGCUACAGCUUAACGGAUAAAAGCUACCCCGGGGAUAACAGGCUGAUCGCCUCCAAGCGUCCACAGCGACGAGGCGGUUUGGCACCUUAUGUGAUACACAUUGGGGUGCCUGUAUUUUAAGUAAUUAAAAUACAAACCUGUAUUUCACAGGGAACCCCGCCAAAAGCGGGGUAAAGAUUGAUAGGUCUUUUUGUGAAAGUAAAAAUACUAGUCCAAAUCGGUGGACUCCUUUCGAAAUAGAACAACGAAAGGACAAUACCGAGAGGAGUUCAGUUAUCAGUUCUCGGUUUUCAGUUUUCAGGUUCCAGUUUUUCGGUUUUCGGUCAUUCAGACUGAUAGACAGAUAACUGAUUGACCAAAUUCUGAUAACCGACCACAGAAAACAGAUAACCGGAUUUCUUGUAUCGACUGUCCCCGAUGAUAGUUUUCAUCGGGGCGAUGUGCAAAUGUUUGUCAAGCGCAUAAAACGGCUAGUGCUGAGGUCGCCUUAGGCGACCGAAGUAAAGGUAUAGUCAAAGCCCUUAGUAAUAAGGGAUGCACAUAACAGUUAAUUGUUAAUUUGUCGUUUUCGUUAAUUGUUAUGAUUGCGAUGUCGGCUCAUCUUAUCCAGGGGGUGUAGAAGCUCCCAAUGGUCGGGCUGUUCGCCCGUUAAAAAGGUACGCGAGCUGGGUUCAGAACGUAAGUUACAUUGCGUUCUACCACAGUAAUGUGGUAUAAAUAAUUACUGACUAAAAUCGGAGAAACCCUCUUAAAGCAUUCGAACUGGCUUUAAAGGGUAACACCGAGGGUAAGUCAAAAGAGGUUUGAAGAAAGAAGAGUUGUCCUACAUAGCAGGGUUUCUGGAUGGAGAUGGAUGUAUUAUGCUUCAAUUGGUAUUUCGAGCAGAUUAUAGACUCGGAUAUCAGAUAAGAGCGAGCAUCGUCUUCUAUCAGAAGCAGAAAUAUAAGAAUUUUCUAUUUUGGUUAAAGGGAAAGUUUCAAGUAGGGUAUAUCAGGGACAGAAAUGAUGGAAUGUCUGAAUAUACUAUUGUUGGAUCAAAACCAGUUAUAGGAAUUCUUAAAAAGCUAAUGCCUUAUCUUAGAUUAAAAAAGGAUCAGGCGGAGCUUGCCCUUGAGGUCCUGGCAAAAAUGCCAGGAUCAGGUAGGAAAAUGAACUCUAGAAUAUUGCUAGAACUUUCUUUAGAAGUUGACAAAUUUGCUGAAUUGAAUUAUUCAAAAAAGCGAACCAAUACUUCUGAGAAAGUAAGGCAGUUUCUAAAUAAAUCUCUUUUGAAUCCCGUAGAGACUGAAGUUUAACAACUUCGAUUCCAUAACAUUGGAAUAAUACGUCAGCGCCUACUCCUACAAUUGUAGGACAAGAGGAUGAAGAUAUAGUCCAUGCCAUUAGAAAUAGUGGGUAAACAUGCGUAAGACAGUUCGGUCUCUAUCCAGGACAACCGAUUUGAGAUUUGAAGGGAGUCGCCCCUAGUACGAGAGGACUGGGGUGAGGGAAUCCCUGGUGUGCCGGUUGUGUGAAAACACGCAGCGCCGGAUAGCUAGAUUCCCAUGGGAUAACCGCUGAAAGCAUCUAAGUGGGAAGCCCACCCUAAGAUAAGAUCUCUUAGUGCCCUAGUAGAUCACUAGGUUGAUAGGAGAGAGGUGUAAGACUGGUAACAGUUUUAGCUUACUCUUACUAAUAGCACGAA
rnacentral:rRNA from 1 species